AGAACAGCUUCCAUGACUGCAACAACCACCAGAAGCAAUCCGUGGAGGGUCUUUUUGACUUCUCAUGCAGCUUCUCCACUACCCACUUUCGAGCCAGGCCUGCAUCACAGGAGCAAAUAGGCUACUCUCAAUCCUCAACUUGUGUCAAGCCAACCCUGUCAAAACCAGUAUCAAGGAAAGACGGAGGGAAAAAAGGAAGAAGAUACUGAAGGACCUUAUGCCUACAUAUCUCAAGAAGAUCUUCCUCUGAGGGCUCGAGUGUA